rnacentral:rRNA from 1 species
GACGAACGCUGGCGGCGUGCUUAACACAUGCAAGUCGAACGGAAAGGCCUGCUUUCCCUUGUGGAUUGCGGGUACUCGAGUGGCGAACGGGUGAGUAACACGUGAGUGAUCUGCCCCCAACUUGGGUAUAAGCCUGGGAAACUGGGUCUAAUUCCCGAUAGGACUGCAGGGUGGUGCCUGUGGUGGAAAACGAUUUUCUAGUGGUUGGGGAUGAGCUCGCGGCCUAUCAGCUUGUUGGUGGGGUAAUGGCCUACCAAGGCGGCGACGGGUAGCCGGCCGGAGAGGGUGGACGGCCACAUUGGGACUGGGAUACGGCCCAGACUCCUACGGGAGGCAGCAGUGGGGAAUAUUGCACAAUGGGCGGAAGCCUGAUGCAGCGACGCCGCGUGGAGGAUGACGGCCUUCGGGUUGUAAACUCCUUUCGACCGCGAGGAAGCCACCUGGUUGGAAGGGUGGUGACGGUAGUGGUAGAAGAAGCACCGGCUAACUACGUG